CGGAUUGCAGUCUGCAACUCGACUGCAUGAAGCCGGAAUCGCUAGUAAUCGCGGAUCAGAAUGCCGCGGUGAAUACGUUCCCGGGUCUUGUACACACCGCCCGUCACACCAUGGGAGUCGGAAAUGCCCGAAGCCGGUGGCCUAACCGAUAAGGGAGGAGCCGUCGAAGGCAGGUCUGAUGACUGGGGUGAAGUCGUAACAAGGUACC
rnacentral:rRNA from 1 species